GUAGUUUUUGAUGAAGUUGAAGUCAAAUCAACUUGAAACUUAGUACACAUGUUCCCUGUGAUAUAAUCUUUCCAAUUGUAAUGUCAAAUUAGAGUUUUGAUUCCAAUUUUAUGGUCCACUGAACAUAGAAAAUGAUAUUGUAAGUUUCGGGUUAAAGUUUUUGGUCAAGGUAGUUCUUGAUGAAGUUGAAGUCCAAUAAACUUGAAACUUAGUAUGCAUGUUCCUUAUGAUAUGAUCUUUCUAAUUUUAAUGCCAAAUUAGAGUUUUUACCCCAAUUCCACGGUCCACUUAACAUAGAAAAUGAUUGUGCGAUUGGGGCAUCCGUGUACUAUGGACACAUUCUUGUUUACCUUCUAUUUUUUAUAGUUUUUUUUAAAUAUAUGUCCUUUGUAAUAUUUAACCUAUUUCUUAAAUUUGAUGUUUCUUACUCUUAUGCAUAGGAUUUUGCAAUAACAGAAAUUUAUUUAACGUGCCCCAAUGUUUCUAUUGACUAAAUAGAGCGACAUCCCGUUAUUCUUUAUUGUGCGAUAAUGUUUGUGUUUUGUUUCCGUCUUGCUCGUCAAGGUGAAAUAAACAAAAAAAAAAUAUUAUUUAUUCCCAAAAUUAAAAUGAUUCAAUUAUUUUAAGUCAAUCCUUUUUUUUCUUCUUUUUUAAAAUUCCGUUAUAUCUUUCAGUUGCUUGUUACAUUGUCUUCACCAAGUACAAGCUCGUUGUGAA
rnacentral:lncRNA from 1 species